rnacentral:rRNA from 1 species
UACGAAGGGUGCAAGCGUUACUCGGAAUUACUGGGCGUAAAGCGUGCGUAGGCGGUUUGUUAAGUCCGCUGUGAAAGCCCUGGGCUCAACCUGGGAAUUGCAGUGGAUACUGGCAAGCUAGAGUGCGGUAGAGGAUGGUGGAAUUCCCGGUGUAGCGGUGAAAUGCGUAGAUAUCAGGAGGAACACCGAUGGCGAAGGCAGGUCUCUGGGCUGACACUGACGCUCAUGCACGAAAGCGUGGGGAGCAAACAGG